GACGAACGCUGGCGGCGUGCUUAACACAUGCAAGUCGAACGGUGAAGCGAGUGCUUGCGCUCGUGGAUCAGUGGCGAACGGGUGAGUAACACGUGAGUAACCUGCCCAUCACUCUGGGAUAAGCACUGGAAACGGUGUCUAAUACUGGAUACGACCAACCCUUGCAUGGGGUGUUGGUGGAAAGAUUUAUCGGUGAUGGAUGGACUCGCGGCCUAUCAGCUUGUUGGCGGGGUAAUGGCCCACCAAGGCGACGACGGGUAGCCGGCCUGAGAGGGUGACCGGCCACACUGGGACUGAGACACGGCCCAGACUCCUACGGGAGGCAGCAGUGGGGAAUAUUGCACAAUGGGCGAAAGCCUGAUGCAGCGACGCCGCGUGAGGGAUGACGGCCUUCGGGUUGUAAACCUCUUUCAGCAGGGAAGAAGCGAAAGUGACGGUACCUGCAGAAGAAGCACCGGCUAACUACGUG
rnacentral:rRNA from 1 species